UAACCUGCCUUGUAGCGGGGGAUAACUAUUGGAAACGAUAGCUAAUACCGCAUAACAAUGGAUGACACAUGUCAUUUAUUUGAAAGGGGCAAUUGCUCCACUACAAGAUGGACCUGCGUUGUAUUAGCUAGUAGGUGAGGUAAUGGCUCACCUAGGCGACGAUACAUAGCCGACCUGAGAGGGUGAUCGGCCACACUGGGACUGAGACACGGCCCAGACUCCUACGGGAGGCAGCAUG
rnacentral:rRNA from 1 species